rnacentral:rRNA from 1 species
AUUGAACGCUGGCGGCAUGCUUUACACGUGCAAGUCGAACGGUAACAGGCCGCAAGGUGCUGACGAGUGGCGAACGGGUGAGUAAUGCAUCGGAACGUGCCCAGUCGUGGGGGAUAACGCAGCGAAAGCUGCGCUAAUACCGCAUACGAUCUAUGGAUGAAAGCGGGGGACCGUAAGGCCUCGCGCGAUUGGAGCGGCCGAUGUCAGAUUAGGUAGUUGGUGGGGUAAAGGCUCACCAAGCCGACGAUCUGUAGCUGGUCUGAGAGGACGACCAGCCACACUGGGACUGAGACACGGCCCAGACUCCUACGGGAGGCAGCAGUGGGGAAUUUUGGACAAUGGGCGCAAGCCUGAUCCAGCAAUGCCGCGUGCAGGAAGAAGGCCUUCGGGUUGUAAACUGCUUUUGUACGGAACGAAACGGACCGGGUUAAUACCCUGGGCUAAUGACGGUACCGUAAGAAUAAGCACCGGCUAACUACGUGCCAGCCGCCGCCGUAAAAC